UACGUAGGGUGCAAGCGUUGUCCGGAAUUAUUGGGCGUAAAGAGCUUGUAGGCGGUUUGUCGCGUCUGCUGUGAAAUUUCGGGGCUCAACCCCGAACUUGCAGUGGGUACGGGCAGACUAGAGUGUGGUAGGGGAGACUGGAAUUCCUGGUGUAGCGGUGAAAUGCGCAGAUAUCAGGAGGAACACCGAUGGCGAAGGCAGCUCGCUGGGACGGUACUGACGCUGAAGCGCGAAAGCGUGGGGAGCAAACAGG
rnacentral:rRNA from 1 species